rnacentral:rRNA from 1 species
GUGAGGAAUAUUGGUCAAUGGACGGAAGUCUGAACCAGCCAAGUAGCGUGCAGGAUGACGGCCCUAUGGGUUGUAAAAUGCUUUUAUGCGGGGGUAAAGUGAGUGACGUGUCAUUCAUUGCAAGUACCGCAAGAAUAAGGACCGGCUAAUUCCGUGCCAGCAGCCGCGGUAAUACGGAAGGUCCUGGUGUUAUCAGGAUUUAUUGGGUUUAAAGGGAGCGUAGGCCGUCAGGCAAGCGUGUUGUGAAAUGUCGUGGCUCAAGCAUGGACUUGCAGCGCGAACUGCCCGACUUGAGUGCGCAGAAAGCAGGCGGAAUUUGUGGUGUAGCGGUGAAAUGCUUAGAUAUCACGAAGAACCCCGAUUGCGAAGGCAGCCUGCUGUAGCGCUACUGACGCUGAAGCUCGAAAGUGCGGGUAUCGAACAGGAUUAGAAACCCGUGUAGUCC